CAGAUCCAUUGCAGCAGCCUCAGAGAGAACACUCAGCAUGAAGCUUCUCCUGCUGCUGGCAUUCAUGGCGGUCUCUGGCUUGCCUCAAGUCUACGGCAGAUUGGGACAAUUUGCAGAUAUGAUCAAGAGCAAGACAGGAAAGAAUGCAAUUUUAAGU